rnacentral:rRNA from 1 species
CCUACGGGAGGCAGCAGUGAGGAAUAUUGGUCAAUGGCCGGAAGGCUGAACCAGCCAAGCCGCGUGAAGGACGAAGGUGCCAAGCAUUGUAAACUUCUUUUGUCAAGGGACAAAAUCAGGCUCGAGAGCCUGACCGAGGGUACUUGAAGAAAAAGCAUCGGCUAACUCUGUGCCAGCAGCCGCGGUAAUACGGAGGAUGCGAGCGUUAUCCGGAUUUAUUGGGUUUAAAGGGUGCGUAGGCGGACUUUUAAGUUAGCGGUAAAACCCCGGGGCUAAACCCCGGCGAGCCGUUGAAACUGGUUGUCUGGAGAUGUCGAGAGGUAUGCGGAAUGCGCAGUGUAGGGGUAAAAUGCUUAGAUAUUGCGCAGAACUCCGAUUGCGAAGGCAGCAUACCGGCGGCGAUCUGACGCUGAGGCACGAAAGCGUGGGUAUCGAACAGGAUUAGAUACCCUAGUAGUC